GCGGGCGCUCGCGGGAGGAGCUGCGCGAUUCGGAUGCUGGGGAGGUGAAGCUCGCGGGGCCGCCAGGCCGCCGGGCUUUUGACCAGCUUCUGUGGAACAUCUCUACCCUGCCCUGCAGACUACCCUGUGACUCCUGGAAGUCUAGGUCCUUUGUUGCAUGGAGAGGAUGCAAACCACGUGCUGCAGCUCCCGAUGCCUUUUCCGAGCAGAUUCCUCAGAGGGGGUGCCUGACAUCAGAGAUGAAUUUCAGCCAAUGCCUCCGAAGAGGCAGAUGCAGAAACCUCACUCCUCUCAGUAACCCUGAGCAAAGCACUCAACCUCUCUGAGCCUCGGGUUUCCAUCUGUAAAAUGGGCUCAAGCUAAGUUGUCUCUCCA
rnacentral:lncRNA from 1 species